UGCGGGUGUCGGUCGUUGGUAAAGUGGAAUCAAACCUUACGGUUUUAGUCCAUGGUUUGGUCCCCUUCAACCAGCUGCUGCUACCACGCACA
rnacentral:pre_miRNA from 10 species